AUGGUUAAGUGACUAAGCGUAUACGGUGGAUGCCUUGGCAGUCAGAGGCGAUGAAGGACGUAGUAACUUGCGAAAAGCGUUGGCGAGCUAGUAACAAGCAUUUGAGCUAACGAUGUCCGAAUGGGGAAACCCACUCACAUAAGUGAGUAUCAUAUACUGAAUACAUAGGUAUAUGAGGCAAACCCGGGGAACUGAAACAUCUAAGUACCCGGAGGAACAGAAAUCAACCGAGAUUCCCCUAGUAGCGGCGAGCGAACGGGGAUUAGCCCUUAAGUCUAUGGGGUGUUAGUGGAAUGAGUUGGAAAGCUCAGCGGCACAGGGUGAUAGCCCCGUACAUGAAAACUAACCAUAGAUGAAAACGAGUAGGACGGGACACGUGACAUCUUGUCUGAACAUGGGGGGACCAUCCUCCAAGGCUAAAUACUCCUGACUGACCGAUAGUGAACCAGUACCGUGAGGGAAAGGCGAAAAGAACCCCUGUGAGGGGAGUGAAAUAGAACCUGAAACCGUAUACGUACAAGCAGUGGGAGCGGUUCCAUUCUUCGGAAUAAGAGACCGUGACUGCGUACCUUUUGUAUAAUGGGUCAGCGACUUACAUUUUGUAGCGAGGUUAAGCGAAUAGCGGAGCCGUAGGGAAACCGAGUGUUAACUGCGCGUAUCUUUAAUUAGAGAAGUUGCAAGGUGUAGACCCGAAACCCGGUGAUCUAUCCAUGGGCAGGUUGAAGGUUGAGUAACAUCAACUGGAGGACCGAACCGACUUAUGUUGAAAAAUGAGCGGAUGACUUGUGGAUGGGGGUGAAAGGCCAAUCAAACCGGGAGAUAUCUGGUUCUCCUCGAAAGCUAUUUAGGUAGCGCCUCGAGCGAAUACCAUUGGGGGUAGAGCACUGUUAAGGCUAGGGGGUCAUCCCGACUUACCAACCCUUUGCAAACUCCGAAUACCAAUGAGUACUACUCGGGAGACACACGGCGGGUGCUAACGUCCGUCGUGGAAAGGGAAACAACCCAGACCAUCAGCUAAGGUCCCAAAGUUAUUGCUAAGUGGGAAACGAUGUGGGAAGGCUUAGACAGCUAGGAUGUUGGCUUAGAAGCAGCCAUCAUUUAAAGAAAGCGUAAUAGCUCACUAGUCGAGUCGGCCUGCGCGGAAGAUUUAACGGGGCUAAGCAAUACACCGAAGCUAUGGGUUUGCUAGUUUACUGGCAAGCGGUAGAGGAGCGUUCUGUAAGCCGUUGAAGGCGAAGGGGUAACCCACGCUGGAGGUAUCAGAAGUGCGAAUGCUGACAUGAGUAACGAUAAAGGGAGUGAAAAACUCCCUCGCCGAAAGACCAAGGUUUCCUGUCCAAUGUUAAUCAGGGCAGGGUAAGUCGACCCCUAAGGUGAGGCCGAAAGGCGUAAUCGAUGGGAAACAGGUUAAUAUUCCUGUACUUCUGCUAACUGCGAUGGAGAGACGGAGAAGGCUAGGCUAGCGCGGCGUUGGUUGUCCGCGUUUAAGGUUGUAGGUUGUAUUCUUAGGCAAAUCCGGGGAUACGCAUUAAAUUGCAAGACUGAGGACUGAUGACGAGACCCUAAGGGGUUGAAGUAGUUGAUGCCAUGCUUCCAGGAAAAUCUUCUAAGCUUCAGGUUAGUAGGAAUCGUACCCCAAACCGACACAGGUGGUUGGGUAGAGAAUACCAAGGCGCUUGAGAGAACUCGGCUGAAGGAACUAGGCAAAAUGGUACCGUAACUUCGGGAGAAGGUACGCUCCUAGCGGUGAUGAGACUUGCUCUCUAAGCUGCCGGGAGUCGCAGAUA
rnacentral:rRNA from 1 species